GACGAACGCUGGCGGCGUGCUUAACACAUGCAAGUCGAACGGUGAAGCGCCUUCCUUUUUGGUGGGUGUGGAUGAGUGGCGAACGGGUGAGUAACACGUGAGUAACCUGCCCCCUUCUUCUGGAUAACCGCAUGAAAGUGUGGCUAAUACGGGAUAUUCUGGGUCUGUCGCAUGAUGGGUCUGGGAAAGAUAUUGUUUCGGUGGGGGAUGGGCUCGCGGCCUAUCAGCUUGUUGGUGGGGUGAUGGCCUACCAAGGCGGUGACGGGUAGCCGGCCUGAGAGGGUGGACGGUCACACUGGGACUGAGACACGGCCCAGACUCCUACGGGAGGCAGCAGUGGGGAAUAUUGCACAAUGGGCGCAAGCCUGAUGCAGCGACGCCGCGUGAGGGAUGGAGGCCUUCGGGUUGUGAACCUCUUUCGCCAGUGAAGCAGGCCUGCCUCGUUUGUGGGUGGGUUGACGGUAGCUGGAUAAGAAGCGCCGGCUAACUACGG
rnacentral:rRNA from 1 species